AAGGCGCAAACCUCGAAAAAAUUAUAUACGACACAGCCAAAUGCUGGCCAAAUCCCGGAGAUGCCGAUUCGGACGGGACUAACGUUAUAUUACAACAGGACCUCGGUGUUCGGCGAAAUAAGGCUCUGGUGACCUCUGAAUAAACAGGACUACCAGGGGGCAGAGGCCGGUCAACACGCUGGGACAGGCUGAAAAGUUUAGGUGGAGGGAAUGCUUCCCAGUCUAUAUGCUCUCGCUCCAACCAGGACGGGCUUCUCCGAGACCCAGAGCUCCGUGUUUCUCUUCUCCUGAAGCAGAUGAGGAAGCACACAGUCAUGACAAAAAUGACCACCCCGCUCACAACAGACACCAGUAAAGCAAUGUGAAGUCCCUGGUCAUUUGACCGAGGGAUACCUAAAAAGAAUAGUGUUUAUUUUACCAGAU